UAUAUCAGUUACCUGAACGCUUCACUUAGACCUCUAUAUAAGGAAAACAUAAACUCCUCUGAUAUCAGCUGGAACUACAGCAAAAACACAGACGGGUCUUACAGAGUCACAUCGUACCUUCACCUGUCUUCAAACAUAAGAGUGUACUACUGCUGGGUGAAUCACUCAACUCUGAGCCAACCCAUCAUUGUUAACAUUUCCUCCACUGAGUGCACUGACAGAGAAGAGAAAUUAACUGGAUUAGUUGUGCGUUUUUGGGUUGUUGGAAUCCUCUUCGGCUUAUUGAUUGGCAUUGCUUUGUUCAGCAAACUUUACUAUCAACAUCUCACUUCACACCAUCUCUGGUCUACUGCUGAUGCUAUUGUUAUAUCGGAACCUGUCUCAUUCUCUCCGGUUUAGUCUAUCAACAAGAUGAGCUGAAGCAAACACAUUCACUAAAAUAAAGAGCUUUUCACUACUUUGGAAGUGUCAUUACUAUCAUGUAACAGCUCAGGAUAUUACUCCUUCCUGCCAGCAGACGUCACACUUUCUAGUGCAACCUCUGCAGCCAUUUCCAGGUCACUGGAAACUCUUGCCAAAUUGAGAUUGUGUAAAUUAUGAGCCUUGUAUUUCUGCUGAUUGUCUAUGCUGUAUUUGUUUGGUCUUUGAAUGACCCUUUACCCUGUUUAUACUGUGUCUGCUUUUUUCUGUUUGUGAUUUGACUGUUUAUCUACUCUGGGUUUGGUUUGAUUUCAAAUUUAUAUGACUUGACUUCAUAAUAAAGUGCAUCUGCAUAUGUUAGAAGCACCCAAUCUGCAAUCCUGUCAUUAACUAUCUGUCCGUUGGUCCUCGCCAGGGCAUUAGGCAGCAUAUUUAUGGACCCGGCUGGACUUUGUGGACUUUUCAUGCUUAUGAAUACUUGAAUGUUCAUAUUUGUAAGUACCAAGUCGAAAGAUAUUAUGUGUGCAAAUUUUGAAGCGUAUAUAUGCACUGGAAGUACAGUGGAUUUAAAAAGUUACACCCGGUUAAAACUGUAGAUUUUUGUGAUAUAAACAAUGAAACCAAAAUAAAUCAGAAUACUUAUUUAUUUGUAAUAUUAGUGUGCAUUCAAGUGAUACACUACCAUGGUGUGGCUUCAGUGUGAUUUUCAUUUUUUGUGAUUUUGAAAAACGAACGUGCAACAGACUUUUUUGGGAAUUCUUGCCCCAUGGCCCUCUUUUAGUGCUUGAUGCACUGAGAUGUGAUAAGUGGGGCAGUGAGCUCGCCGCUCAGCAAUUGCAUAACAUCUAGGCAAGCAGAUCAACUGAAAAUUGGUCAAUGUGCGACACUUAUUAAAAUCACUCAAAGUAGGUCAAUUUUCCUU